rfam:Clostridium cavendishii DSM 21758 genome assembly, contig: EJ30DRAFT_scaffold00035.35
CUAGUAAGAUCCCUUGAAGAACACAAGGUUGAUAGGUGAGGGGUGUAAGCAUGGUAACAUGUUCAGCUGACUCAUACUAAUAGAUCGAGGGCUUGACCAA